AUUUCAGAACAUUUCUAAUAUUUUUCCAUGUAAAGGAUUUACAAAAACUGACCUAUUCCUGGAAACAAUCUUGGCUUUAGCCAAUCAGGUUUUAACAGUGAGUUAUUCAGGAUGAUGAUAAUCUUUUUGUGGAGAUCAAGGACAGAAGAUACUGCAGUGCAACUCUGUUAUGGAGGUUACAUUGUCAUGACUCAACUAAUCAAACAAAAAUACCUGUCAAACUGGCUGGAGCUGCUCUGUUUUCAGACUCAAGCAACAAUAGUUGUUAAAGCCAGCUCUUCUGAGGUACAGCGGAAAGGCAGCUGA
rnacentral:lncRNA from 1 species